rnacentral:tRNA from 1 species
CAAGUUGGAGCUUGUAUUUAAGCGUUUUGUUUACACCAAAAAGAAAUUAUUUGUUAAUUAACUUGA